GACGAACGCUGGCGGCGUGCUUAACGCAUGCAAGUCGAACGGAAAGGCCCUGCUUUUGUGGGGUGCUCGAGUGGCGAACGGGUGAGUAACACGUGAGUAACCUGCCCUUGACUUUGGGAUAACUUCAGGAAACUGGGGCUAAUACCGGAUAGGAGCUCCUGCUGCAUGGUGGGGGUUGGAAAGUUUCGGCGGUUGGGGAUGGACUCGCGGCUUAUCAGCUUGUUGGUGGGGUAGUGGCUCACCAAGGCUUUGACGGGUAGCCGGCCUGAGAGGGUGACCGGCCACAUUGGGACUGAGAUACGGCCCAGACUCCUACGGGAGGCAGCAGUGGGGAAUAUUGCACAAUGGGCGGAAGCCUGAUGCAGCAACGCCGCGUGCGGGAUGACGGCCUUCGGGUUGUAAACCGCUUUAGCCUGUGACGAAGCGUGAGUGACGGUAAUGGGUAAAGAAGCACCGGCUAACUACGUG
rnacentral:rRNA from 1 species